AGUCGUAUGUUUUAAAAAUAAAAUAUAUCAAAAUUGACGUUAUUCUAUUCAAAAAAAAUUACAACGCACAAUAUUUGCAAGGAAAUACUAUGUUUUAAGCAAACCACAAAAUGUAUUAAUUAAAAGGGAAAAGAAAGACGUGAAUAUGAAAAAAAUGAUGAAAAAAAUAAUUAUAUUAGAUGUAAUUGGUCUAAGAGAGAAAAUUAGGAGGAGAGUUUAUGGCAAAUACUAUUUUGUAAAAAUGCUUGAUACAUAUUUUACAUAUUUUAUAUUAUUUCCUAGAAUGUGUAACGAAAUAUGAAUCUCCCCGUCCCGGUAGUCUACACGACAAAAUUAAAAUCAGAUCAUUGGCUUUUAUUCAAAAAAAAAAAAGGCUUUCAUGCAAAAGAAAACAUGUGCUAUAUAUAUUACUCUUCAGUUACCCGCAACUGCACUACAAAAUUGCCACCCUUUUCCUUCUCCUUAUUUAGCCAUACACUUCAUAUUGGGUGGUAAUCACAGCCAAGAAUCCACCAUAAAGGGCUCCAAUCCUGCGACAGGGCUAUGGAGUCCAGGCUGCAAUUACAGCCAAUACACCGAUCGAGGAACCACUGCAGCCAGUUCCAUAAGAACGCUAACUCCCGCCCUUCGCAAAAGACUCGCAAGCUGAUGACACCCUAGACAAGAGAGCUACCAGGAGUCGGAUCAUGGCAUUACAUUCUGGCAUUUGUUCCCUGGGGGAUUUCUGAUCCGAUGCUUCUUCCUGUCUCAUCUGAAACCACGAAUUUGACUUCAGCUUGGUGCUGGAACAGCUAAUCCUCAGGCAGCCAUAACAUUAACGCCUCCUCGGGCAUCAUAAAUGGACUUGUUACUAUAUGCCCAUAACACCAAUUUUAGUUAUGUGUUCUCUCUUCUUCUGUAACAUCAU
rnacentral:lncRNA from 1 species